ensembl:snRNA U6 U6 spliceosomal RNA
GUGCUCGCUUCAGCAUCACAUAUACUAAAAUUGGAAGGACACAGAGAAGAUUAGCAUGGCCCCUGCACAAGGAUGACAUGCAAAUUCGUGAAGCGUUUCAUAUUUUU